AACGAACGCUGGCGGCAGGCCUAAUACAUGCAAGUCGAGCGCGCCCUUCGGGGUGAGCGGCGGACGGGUGAGUAACGCGUGGGAAUAUGCCCUUCUCUAAGGAAUAGCCUCUGGAAACGGAGAGUAAUACCUUAUACGCCCUUCGGGGGAAAGAUUUAUCGGAGAAGGAUUAGCCCGCGUUAGAUUAGGUAGUUGGUGGGGUAAUGGCCUACCAAGCCUACGAUCUAUAGCUGGUUUGAGAGGAUGAUCAGCCACACUGGGACUGAGACACGGCCCAGACUCCUACGGGAGGCAGCAGUAGGGAAUCUUAGACAAUGGGGGCAACCCUGAUCUAGCCAUGCCGCGUGUGUGAUGAAGGCCCUAGGGUCGUAAAGCACUUUCGCCAGAGAUGAUAAUGACAGUAUCUGGUAAAGAAACCCCGGCUAACUCCGUGCCAGCAGCCGCGGUAAUACGGAGGGGGUUAGCGUUGUUCGGAAUUACUGGGCGUAAAGCGCACGUAGGCGGAUUAGUAAGUUAGAGGUGAAAUCCCAGGGCUCAACCCUGGAACUGCCUUUAAUACUGCUAGUCUUGAGUUCGAGAGAGGUAAGUGGAAUUCCGAGUGUAGAGGUGAGAUUCGUAGAUAUUCGGAGGAACACCAGUGGCGAAGGCGGCUUACUGGCUCGAUACUGACGCUGAGGUGCGAAAGUGUGGGGAGCAAACAGGAUUAGAUACCCUGGUAGUCCACACCGUAAACGAUGAAUGCCAGACGUCAGCAAGUAUACUUGUUGGUGUCACACCUAACGGAUUAAGCAUUCCGCCUGGGGAGUACGGUCGCAAGAUUAAAACUCAAAGGAAUUGACGGGGGCCCGCACAAGCGGUGGAGCAUGUGCUUUAAUUCGAAGCAACGCGCAGAACCUUACCAACCCUUGACAUCCUGUGCUACUACCAGAGAUGGUACGUUCCCUUCGGGGACGCAGUGACAGGUGCUGCAUGGCUGUCGUCAGCUCGUGUCGUGAGAUGUUCGGUUAAGUCCGGCAACGAGCGCAACCCACAUCUUUAGUUGCCAGCAGGUUAAGCUGGGCACUCUAGAGAAACUGCCCGUGAUAAGCGGGAGGAAGGUGUGGAUGACGUCAAGUCCUCAUGGCCCUUACGGGUUGGGCUACACACGUGCUACAAUGGCAGUGACAAUGGGUUAAUCCCCAAAAGCUGUCUCAGUUCGGAUUGGGGUCUGCAACUCGACCCCAUGAAGUCGGAAUCGCUAGUAAUCGCGUAACAGCAUGACGCGGUGAAUACGUUCCCGGGCCUUGUACACACCGCCCGUCACACCAUGGGAGUUGGUUCUACCCGACGACGCUGCGCUAACCCUUCGGGGAGGCAGGCGGCCACGGUAGGAUCAGCGACUGGGGUG
rnacentral:rRNA from 1 species